rnacentral:rRNA from 1 species
CGUAACCGGGCUGAAGUCGUACCGUAAGGAGCGGUGGACUGGUUACGAGUGAGAAUGUUGGCAUCAGUAGCGAGAUGUGGGUGAGAAUCCCACAGGCCGAAAACCUAAGGUUUCCUCAGGAAGGUUCGUCCGCUGAGGGUUAGUCGGGACCUAAGCCGAGGCCGAAAGGCGUAGGUGAUGGACAACUGGUUGAUAUUCCAGUACCACUACCAUCGUUAUUAUCGAUGGCGUGACGCAGGAGGAUAGUGUGUGCUAGCUAUUGGAUGCUAGUCUAAGCGUUUAGGCAGUGAGAGUAGGCAAAUCCGCUCUCAUAAUGCUGAGGCGUGAUGGGGAAGGUUCUACGGAACCGAAGUACAUGAUUCCACGCUGCCAAGAAAAGCGUCUAGAGAGAGAAGUAGUGCCCGUACCGCAAACCGACACAGGUAGGUGAGGAGAGAAUCCUAAGGCCGGCGGAAGAAUUACAGUUAAGGAACUCGGCAAAUUGACCCCGUAAGUUCGCGAGAAGGGGUGCCUACGAGAGUAGGCCGCAGAGAAUAGGCCCAAGCAACUGUUUAGCAAAAACACAGGUCUCUGCUAAAGCGUAAGCUGAUGUAUAGGGGCUGACGCCUGCCCGGUGCUGGAAGGUUAAGGGGAACACUUAGCGCAAGCGAAGGUGUGAACUUAAGCCCCAGUAAACGGCGGCCGUAACUAUAACGGUCCUAAGGUAGCGAAAUUCCUUGUCAGGUAAGUUCUGACCCGCACGAAUGGCGUAAUGACUUGGGCACUGUCUCAACUGUAAAUCCGGCGAAGUUGUAGUGCGAGUGAAGAUGCUCGCUACCCGCGAUUGGACGGAAAGACCCCGUAGAGCUUUACUGUAGCUUAGCAUUGAGUUUUGGUAUUGUCUGUACAGGAUAGGUGGGAGACUAGGAAACCAGGGCGUCAGCCUUGGUGGAGUCAACCUUGGGAUACCACCCUGACAGUACUGAAAUUCUAACUGGCGGCCAUGAAUCUGGUCACAGGACAUUGUUAGGUGGGCAGUUUGACUGGGGCGGUCGCCUCCUAAAAAGUAACGGAGGCGCCCAAAGGUUCCCUCAGAACGGUCGGAAAUCGUUCGAAGAGUGCAAAGGCAGAAGGGAGCCUGACUGCGACACCCACAAGUGGAGCAGGGACGAAAGUCGGGCUUAGUGAUCCGGUGGUACCUCGUGGGAGGGCCAUCGCUCAACGGAUAAAAGCUACCUCGGGGAUAACAGGCU